CCUACGGGAGGCAGCAGUGAGGAAUAUUGGUCAAUGGACGCAAGUCUGAACCAGCCAUGCCGCGUGCAGGAAGACGGCUCUAUGAGUUGUAAACUGCUUUUGUACGAGGGUAAAUCCCGAUACGUGUAUCGGGUUGAAAGUAUCGUACGAAUAAGGAUCGGCUAACUCCGUGCCAGCAGCCGCGGUAAUACGGAGGAUUCAAGCGUUAUCCGGAUUUAUUGGGUUUAAAGGGUGCGUAGGCGGUUCGAUAAGUUAGAGGUGAAAUCCCGGGGCUCAACGCCGGCACUGCCUCCGAUACUGUGGGGCUAGAGUUUAGUUGCGGUAGGCGGAAUGUAUGGUGUAGCGGUGAAAUGCAUAGAGAUCGUACAGAACCCCGGUGGCGAAGGCGGCCUGCUGGACUGUGACUGACGUUGAGGCCCGAAGGCGUGGGGAGCAAACAGGAUUAGAUACCCUGGUAGUC
rnacentral:rRNA from 1 species